ensembl:lncRNA
UUGAUUGAUUGGUUGAUUGAUUGAUUGAUUGGUUGGUUGAUUGAUUGAUUGAUUGAUAGGUUGAUUGAUUGGUUGAUUGAUUGGUUGAUAGGUUGAUUGAUUGAUUGGUUGAUUGGUUGAUUGAUAGGUUGAUUGAUUUGUUGAUUGAUUGAUUGGUUGAUUGGUUUGUGCUAGUUAAUAUAUUAACGUCAUAACACAUUGUUUCUACUUUGGAUGCAAUUUAGUGGGAGUGAAAUUGAGAAAGGUGAACUUCUGGCCAGUUGACCCAACAAGGCCUUUUUAGUUCAACGAUUACUCAUUUAUUUUAUAUGAUGCACAUCAGACCUUGUUAUAGCAAUAUCUGUAAAGGAUAUAAAAAUAGGAGCAAAAUUUAAAGAUGAAAUAUGAUCAUCCGAAGCACAGUUGACCCACCCGAGUGUAUUACUCGCUGCUAAAACAAUUGUCUAACCGCAUGAAGUGGAGCCGUUAAAUCUGAUAUCUUCAUCCAUCACGUCAGUCCAGAGCGUCUCCUCCUGAGCCCCGGGAUUAUUAAAGCGGAAAACUCCCCGAUUCCUCCUCACUUCCUGUCUUAUUAAGCUGUUCCUGAGUUCUGAGUUUAUGCUAAAAAUAG